rnacentral:rRNA from 1 species
UACGUAGGGGGCGAGCGUUGUCCGGAUUUAUUGGGCGUAAAGAGCUCGUAGGCGGCUUGGCAAGUCGGGUGUGAAACCUACAGGCUCAACCUGGAGACGCCACUCGAUACUGCCAUGGCUAGAGUCCGGUAGGGGACCACGGAAUUCCUGGUGUAGCGGUGAAAUGCGCAGAUAUCAGGAGGAACACCGGUGGCGAAGGCGGUGGUCUGGGCCGGCACUGACGCUGAGGAGCGAAAGCGUGGGUAGCAAACAGG